CCUACGGGAGGCUGCAGUGGGGAAUAUUGCACAAUGGGGGAAACCCUGAUGCAGCGACGCCGCGUGAAGGACGAAGUAUUUCGGUACGUAAACUUCUAUCAGCAGGGAAGAAAAUGACGGUACCUGACCAAGAGGCCCCGUCUAACUACGUGCCAGCAGCCGCGGUAAUACGUAGGGGGCAAGCGUUAUCCGGAUUUACUGGGGGUAAAGGGAGCGUAGGCGGCAGGGCAAGCCUGAUGUGAAAGCCCGGGGCUCAACCCCGGGACCGCAUUGGGAACUGCCCCGCUCGAGUGCCGGAGGGGCAGGCGGAAUUGCUAGUGUAGCGGUGAAAUGCGUAGAUAUUAGGAGGAACACCAGUGGCGAAGG
rnacentral:rRNA from 1 species